rnacentral:tRNA from 1 species
GCUGUGAUGGCCGAGUGGUUAAGGCGUUUGACUAGAAAUCAAAUGGGAUUUUCCCGCGUAGGUUCAAAUCCUACUCACAGCG